rnacentral:rRNA from 1 species
GACAGAGGGGGCAAGCGUUGCUCGGAAUUACUGGGCGUAAAGGGUGCGUAGGCGGCGCGGUAAGUCGGGUGUGAAAUCUCGGAGCUUAACUCCGAAGCUGCAUUCGAUACUGCCGUGCUUGAGGACUGGAGAGGAGACUGGAAUUUACGGUGUAGCGGUGAAAUGCGUAGAUAUCGUAAGGAAGACCAGUGGCGAAGGCGGGUCUCUGGACAGUUCCUGACGCUGAGGCACGAAGGCCAGGGGAGCAAACGGG